rnacentral:rRNA from 1 species
UACAGAGGUCUCAAGCGUUGUUCGGAUUCAUUGGGCGUAAAGGGUGCGUAGGCGGCGCGGUAAGUCGGGUGUGAAAAUCUCGGAGCUUAACUCCGAAACUGCAUUCGAUACUGCCGUGCUUGAGGACUGGAGAGGAGACUGGAAUUUACGGUGUAGCGGUGAAAAUGCGUGGAUAUCGUGAGGAACACUAGUGGCGAAAGGCGGAUGUCUGGACAGUAUCUGACGUGAGGCACGAA